rnacentral:rRNA from 1 species
UACGGAGGGUGCAAGCGUUAAUCGGAAUAACUGGGCGUAAAGCGCACGCAGGCGGUUUGAUUAGUCAGAUGUGAAAUCCCCGAGCUCAACUUGGGAACUGCAUUUGAAACUGUCAAACUAGAGUCUUGUAGAGGGGGGUAGAAUUCCAGGUGUAGCGGUGAAAUGCGUAGAGAUCUGGAGGAAUACCAGUGGCGAAGGCGGCCCCCCGGACAAAGACUGACGCUCAGGUGCGAAAGCGUGGGGAGCAAACAGG